CAGCAGCCGCGGUAAUACGGAGGGUGCUAGCGUUGUUCGGAAUUACUGGGCGUAAAGAGCACGUAGGCGGGCUCGUAAGUCGAUUGUGAAAGCCCCGGGCUUAACCUGGGAACUGCAUUCGAUACUGGGCGGCUAGAGUAUGAGAGAGGGAGGUAGAAUUCCACGUGUAGCGGUGAAAUGCGUAGAUAUGUGGAGGAAUACCGGUGGCGAAGGCGGCCUCCUGGCUCAAUACUGACGCUGAGGUGCGAAAGCGUGGGGAGCA
rnacentral:rRNA from 1 species